AAACUAAGCAGGAGGUAAAGCAGAAGAAAUUCCACCACAAUUGUAUUCCUAAUCAUCAAGCACAAGGGCAUCUUAUACAUCAUAUUUUCCCAGUCAAUCAGCACAUUAGUCUUCCUCAGGCAAGAUUAAUUCACAGCAAUCUGGUAGAAGCCCUCAAGACUUAGCAAUUGCAGACAACCGCAGUACACUACCUACUGGAGUCAAAAGGAAAGCCAUCAGAAGUCAGAAUCCAAACUGGUUUUCUUCUCAGUGACCCAGGAAAACCAAUGCCUCAUCAACACUUUAAGAUUAAUAAACCUCAACAGAACUCAGGAUGGAAUUGGAUCUUUCUGGCUUGCACACUACUUACUUAUUCACCCGUUCACCAGUGGCUCCACUGCCAGACCCCUGCAUCUGACUCAGAGAGGGCUUGAAGUUCCACUCUAGAGAUUUGACCACAAGGAUCUAAGCAUACAUUCCAGGGAAGUGCUGCAUUGUUGGGGUUACUUUUUUUUGGAAGGAAUGAUGAACUGAGGCUCUGUCUGCUCUUUCAGAUCUCCCACUUUUGCAAAAUUCCCUGAGGAAGGAAGGCAGCCAGGCUGGCUGCUCCCAAGUCUCUGCUGCAGCUGUUCCCCAGUGGUUCACAGAAGGUGAAAACAACAGGGAGUCUAUUGGUCUUCCCUUCCUUCCUGUGGAGGAGCAAGCACUUUUAAGUCAACUCAAGCAAGAUUCAAGGAAGAUGUUCAAUGGAGACACAAGAGACUUGCUGAGUUCUGAUGUUGCUCAGCCCAAUGAGCUGCUCAGCCAAAUGAGUUCCUCCAGCAGUUUUUUUUGCUGCAGGAAGAUGUUCACAUUUGUGGCUGACCAUCAGGAACAAGAAACUGAGCUGUGAAUAAAGGAUAGCAAAAUCAACAUCUUUUUGGUUCUUAAAAGAACAGAUAACAGAAGCCUAGAAGAAGACAGACGAAUACUUCACUGAUAAGUCUAGUUAUAAGACCCACAUGGAGACUGAGGUCCUUGUAUGAACUAUCAGGAGCAAUCAAAUCAACUAUUUCCUAUACCUGAUUAGCUCAGUAUGAAUGACUAGAAUGCCACACAAGUGGUGAAGUGGAAAAUGGAGACAAUCUGCUGCAACAAAUAGUCCAGCUGCAACAGGAUGAAGUUGGACAAAAUGGAUUGGACCUGGACUGGAUUACUGAUGUGGCACUGUCUCAUUGGAGAGGAAUAGAAGGAGAUGCAUCUUGGAAACAGAAUUUAAAUCCUUUGCUAAUCCUGGAACAGUACAAGAACCUAAGAUCGAAGACUGACUCUUGGUCCAACGUUUGCAAGGAGAAACCCUGAGACUGGGACUCUAAUACAAGUGCAACUUCAGCACAACACAUCUAUGACAAAGCAGCUAACUCAAAUGGCAUGCAAUCCUCCAACCUAUCUGUGAACUUUCUCCAACACCAGUGCAUUGUGGCUCUAGCAUGUAACAUCUAAAAAGUGUCCUACAGCAAACUAUUGGGUCACCUCCCAAGCUCGUGACUUUUACCAUCCAGAGGAUAUGGGUGAAGGCACAUGGGAAUACCACCAAGAUUCUAUCCACAUCAAUCAUUAUCGUUAUUUGAAAAAUAUCACUGUUCCUUAAUCACUGAGCCUAAAUCCUAGUACUAAUAAUCCACCAGUGUUUUGAGAAUACCCUCACCAUAAGGACCACAGAUAGAUAAGAAACCCAUUCUCAGGAACAAUUAGAGAUGGGUAAUAAAUGCUGGCCUUGCCAGUGUAAUUUAAAAAAAUACAUACAAAGCAUUAAAGGUGCACACAAAAUAGCCAGUC